rnacentral:tRNA from 1 species
AUUUAUAUAGUUAAAAAUAUAACAUAUCAUUUUCAGUGAUAAUUUAAGAACUUAUCUUUAUAAAUA